UACGGGGGGGGCAAGCGUUGUUCGGAAUUACUGGGCGUAAAGGGCUCGUAGGUGGCCAACUAAGUCAGACGUGAAAUCCCUCAGCUUAACUGGGGAACUGCGUCUGAUACUGGAUGGCUUGAGUUUGGGAGAGGGAUGCGGAAUUCCAGGUGUAGCGGUGAAAUGCGUAGAUAUCUGGAGGAACACCGGUGGCGAAGGCGGCAGCCUGGACCAACACUGACACUGAGGAGCGAAAGCCAGGGGAGCAAACGGG
rnacentral:rRNA from 1 species